rnacentral:rRNA from 1 species
UACGUAGGGGGCGAGCGUUGUCCGGAAUUACUGGGCGUAAAGGGUGCGUAGGCGGUACCUUAAGUUGGAUGUGAAAUACCCGGGCUUAACUUGGGGGGUGCAUCCAAUACUGGGGAACUAGAGUGCAGGAGAGGGAAGCGGAAUUCCUAGUGUAGCGGUGAAAUGCGUAGAUAUUAGGAGGAACACCAGUGGCGAAGGCGGCUUUCUGGACUGUAACUGACGCUGAGGCACGAAAGCGUGGGGAGCAAACAGG